GAUGAAGAACGUAGCGAAAUGCGAUACUUGGUGUGAAUUGCAGAAUCCCGUGAACCAUCGAGUCUUUGAACGCAAGUUGCGCCCGAAGCCACUAGGCCGAGGGCACGCCUGCCUGGGCGUCACACGCCGUUGCCCCCCCAUCUACUCCUUCGGGAUUGCGGGGGGGCGGAUGAUGGCCUCCCGUGCGCCUAGCCGCGCGGUUGGCAUAAAUACCAAGUCCUCGGCGACGCACGCCACGACAAACGGUGGUUGCGAAACCUCGGUUGCCCGUCGUGUGCGUUCGUCGCGCAUCGAGGGCUCGAAAAAAUGCUCGGCUCCGGCUGGGCUUUCAACGCGACCCCAGGUCAGGCGGGGUUACCCGCUGAAUUUAAGCAUAUCAAUAAGCGGAGGA
rnacentral:misc_RNA from 1 species